GCUACUGUGGCGUAAUGGUUUGAAUGUUGGACUACAACUCUGGAGACCAGGGUUCAAAUCCCUGCUCAGCC